UUCACCAAUAUAAUUUGCUUUCUUUGGAACUUUGCUUUGUUUGGGAAUGACCAAAUCAAAUUGAAAGCCAUUAUGAUUGCACAAAAACAUGCUGCUCUUCUCAUGGCCCCUAUCUCAACUUGUUUUCUAAGUUCCUUUAUUUUGUUUCCUUGUUUUUAUGUGAUAAAGACAUCACACAAGAAGAAAGAUAGUACUACUACUUAUUGGAAGGUACAUGUAUUUAUAUUGCUAUGAAAACAAACUUCCUUUGUUAAGUCCCUUUCUUUUUAAGUUCUUUAUUUAUUAAAUGUAUUGGUAGGAUAUGAUGAUCUAAGAUGAAUUCGGCAGGGAGAAACUAACACAGAAAUCAUUAUUGAUGGGACCAAAUGUAGCUUUUGAGUAAAGCUAGCUAAUUAUGCUUAUCAUAUAUGCAUCUCAAAGAUAUCAAUUCCAAGGUCAAAGCAUGAAGCACUUGAGUCAAACACCCACUACACAUCUUAGAUCGAAAGUACGAAAUAUAACUAGUUUUUUUAGUAAACAUAUGAAAAUGGGCACAUUCAUGAAAGGUAUAAUUGUGCCCAAGUGGAGUGGAGAUACCACUUGUGGUAAAAUUUGGCAAACGCCUCCAAAGUGAAAGCUUGGGCCUUUUCUUCAUUAUAACUCCUUUUUUCUGGGUGACUUCUUUUGACCUUUGAUUAGAUUAUGUUAAACUUUGGGUACAUUGCAUUUCUAAGGAAGUUGCAAGUAAAAUUAUCUGCAAGCAAUCAUUUUUAAAUAACUUAAAAUGCUCGUGCUAUUAUAUUUAUGUGAAAACAUACUGCAUGCACCUUAUAUUUACUCCAACUCAAUGAAUACAUAUCUUCACUAGACCACAUAGUUAAUAUAUUCAAAGUAGAAUCGAUAAGAAGUUUAAGUUAAUUUUUGUUGAGCGCUGGAUUAUUCGCAUAGAAAUUGAACCUGAAGGAGAGGAAAGGAAAGGAGUGUAGAUGGUUUAAAUAGAAGGCUAGUGUAUUUUUAGACUGUCAUUUAUUCCUUCUCAUUCCGAAUCCUUGGUACUUAUUAAUAGGCUCGAACUGGUAUAAUUCCAGUUCAAUUAUUUACUUUGGUUUUUGUAAAUAAGCAAUUUGAACCAGAAUAAGUUCAGUUUGAUGCAUCUUUUCUUUUCUUCGUUAUUUAUACAGCUAUUCAGCGAAGGUAGUGCUACAUGUAUCUUACUAGCACUUGUAGAUUGUCAUGCUGCAAAUCCCACUGCCAUCAGAAUAAUCCCUCAUAUGACAGUAUAUCUUCAUAGAAAUAUAUAUAUAUAUAUAUAUAUAUAUGUAUAUUUUGGUUGCAGUUAGGCCAAUCCAAAUUGAAAAACUGAACCAGAAUAUAAAUUCCAGUUAUUUCCUCUUGGUUUUCAGGUUAAAUCUGAUUAACGCACAUCCCUUGUUUACAUGCCGAAUUCAACUUAUGUCACCUAUGAACAGUUUCAUAGGAGAAUUACCCUUAUACUCUACAUUCUAAGCCCUAAAAGUACGCCGAGCCAUGUUUUAGAAAUAUGAUCACACCACAAACUUUCUUACCCUGUAUUGCUUAUCCUGCUUGAAAUUCUCAAUCCAACCUUAAGUCAUUUGCCACUUUGUUCCCUUAUGUUGGUCUCUCAAAGCCCCCGUACGUCUCCUGUCAGAAUGCCCCACAUUAGUUGAAGGAACAUACCAUUGACUCCUACAUAAGUAAACUUAAAAAGUUAAGCGAGCCAUAUUAGCACGAUGAUAUUGCAGAAGAGCUUGCUAACGGAAGCACAUCAAAGAUCAAUGUGUUUAGCAAGACUACAUUCCAGAAACGCCUUCAGAUUGAAUACUAAGGGAGCAUUGACGUUAUGCCUCCUAAUACCUUUUUUCCCACUACUUUGGCAUUAAAUUUCAGUGACCACCGACUAAUAGUUUCACCAAUAUCUAUAGUUCUAUAUUAUGGAACUUAACACUUCAGUCUCCAUUUUCUGGCAGCGGAAACUGCAGUAGUACAACUAUCAUCUGAUCGGGCAUCUUUUUCUGUGGUGGACAUGGAAAAGAAUUAAAACGGUGAUCUACAAGGACUAGGAUUAAAAGAUGCACUCAGACCUUCGACUUCGCAUGCCUACCAAUUUAUAGGUGAAUGAGCUGAUACACCAGUUCAGUGAACAGAGAUAAUGCAAUGCGCUUACCCCAGUAGCACAGACCCACUGUCUUGGCUUUCCAAGGUCAUCUCCAGUAAUCAGCUAACCAGCUGAUUCCAAAAUUUCUAUCUCCAAUAAGGUGGGAGGCAGAUGGAGCUUUAAGUUCAUCAUCACUUGAAGCUGUCAUCUGGAUCUGUAAAUUGUAAAUAGUACAGUUACGAUAACCUCAACGCUAAUCUUGUCAACGGAAUACAAAGAAGGUCCUCUAAGAUUUUUUUGUUUUCACUACUUAGCAGUAAAUUUUCAAUGACCACCAACUAAUAUAUUCACCAAUAUCAAUUUUUUUACAAGUAACUAAAGAAUUUAUAAAUUUAUGCACUAAGCCAGUGCUUGGCAUGAUUAAAGAUUGUGCAAUCCUUCUACUGCGCCUAGCAUUCCGUCUACCACAUAUUUAAUAACCAGAUUGCACCAAAAGGUUACAAAAAUAUACAUCUGUUUAUGACUGUACGUUUCCCCUUUGGCCUUAAAAAGUUCUAUUGUUUCUUUCAAGCCAGAAAGUCUACCAAACGGCCUGAGGUAUGGUAUUCCAAGUUUUGAGAGAUUUAUAACCAAGCAUCUCUCUGUUCCAACCUUGCAAGAGCUU
rnacentral:lncRNA from 1 species